rnacentral:ncRNA from 1 species
GUAAAAACAAAGAACAGAAGAGUAACUUGACGAUUUGCUAACAGAGAGUCUUCAAUUGGUGGAAGAAGACACAGAUCAAAGUGAACCACAUCUGGGAGUUGGUAUACUGAAAAAUCAGUAAGUAUGUCCGGGUAGGCCCGUUACAGCACAAAGUCUAUGACUUUACGAGGUUGUUAUCGCGAGAUAAUAACAAACAAAGGUGGAACCACGAUAUUUCGUCCUUUGG